UACGUAGGGUGCAAGCGUUGUCCGGAAUUAUUGGGCGUAAAGAGCGUGUAGGCGGCCCGAUUAGUCCGCUGUGAAAGUCCAGGGCUCAACCCUGGAAUGCCGGUGGAUACUGUCGGGCUAGAGUCCGGAAGGUGCGAGUGGAAUUCCUGGUGUAGCGGUGAAAUGCGCAGAUAUCAGGAGGAACACCAAUGGCGAAGGCAGCUCGCUGGGACGUGACUGACGCUGAGACGCGAAAGCGUGGGGAGCGAUCCGG
rnacentral:rRNA from 1 species